rnacentral:rRNA from 1 species
UGCCAGCCGCCGCGGUAAUACGGAGGGUGCAAGCGUUGUUCGGAAUUACUGGGCGUAAAGCGCGCGUAGGCGGCUAUUUAAGUCAGAUGUGAAAGUCCACGGCUCAACCGUGGAAGUGCAUUUGAAACUGGGUAGCUUGAGUAUUGGAGGGGGUGGUGGAAUUCCCGGUGUAGAGGUGAAAUUCGUAGAUAUCGGGAGGAAUACCGAUGGCGAAGGCAAUCUUCUGGACCAACACUGACACUCAAGCGCGAAAGCGUGGGGAGCAAACAGGAUUAGAUA